rnacentral:lncRNA from 1 species
CUGCAAAGAUAAUAGCACCAUAGCACUUGCUAAGGAGCUUAGGUCUCAUCAGAUAUCCGAACACAUAAAACAGCAGAAUAUGUGAUUACCUCAAGUAAAAAUAUAUAAAGGUGCAGAGAGUAAACUCUACAUAUGAUGUGGAUGACCCACUGGUAAGUCACUUGGCUAGCCUAAGACUAUAGCUUGUCUUGUGAAGAUAGGGCUUGGUACAUGGU